rnacentral:rRNA from 1 species
GACGAACGCUGGCGGCGUGCUUAACACAUGCAAGUCGAACGAUGAACCCGGAGCUUGCUCCGGUGGAUUAGUGGCGAACGGGUGAGUAACACGUGAGUAACCUGCCCUUGACUCUGGGAUAACUGCGGGAAACUGUAGCUAAUACCGGAUACGACCCUCGGCGGCAUCGCCAGGGGGUGGAAAGAAUUUCGGUCAAGGAUGGAAUCGCGGCCUAUCAGCUAGUUGGUGAGGUAACGGCUCACACAGGCGACGACGGGUAGCCGGCCUGCGAGGGUGACAGGCCACACUGGAGCGGAGACCCGUCCCAGACCCCUACGGGAGGAAGCAGUGGGGAAUAUUGCACAAUGGGCGCAAGCCUGAUGCAGCACCGCCGCGUGAGGGAUGACGGCCUUCGGGUUGUAAACCUCUUUUAGUAGGGAAGAAGCGAAAGUGACGGUACCUGCAGAAAAAGCACCGGCUAACUACGUGCCAGCAGCCGCCGUAA